rnacentral:lncRNA from 1 species
ACCACGCUCACCGCGAUCUAAAAUAAAUUCAGAUCGUGGUGAGGUCGCGGUAUGAGCGGCAUGAAAAUGUAAAUUUCCGUUGCUUUCACGAUGCUACUACGUCCUCAUUACACUUCUACAACGAUCCCGCUACGAUUAUACUACGUUCUCACCGCGCUUAUUCUGCGACCUCACUACGCUUAUCAAGAUCUUUCUACGCUCAUCGCGUUCUCACUACGACCAUACCACGAGUUAUCCGAUUGCAACACGAUCUUACCACGCUUCUACUGCGAUUAUAGCACGUUCUUACCACGAUUAUACUACGCUCAUACCGCGAUCUUACUACGUUCUCAGCAAUAACGUCAACAUCGUGUUCCAUAUCAAUACAGUUCCAUUCCUUCUAUUUCUGAUUAAUACGUAGAUUUCGCGGAAACAAUACAGUCAUGCCGCCAAAAUUUACUAGAACACGUGGGCGUGGUGGUAGGGGUUGAUGUAGAGGCAGAGGGAGCUCCAAUAGUAACGAAUCCUGAUCCAGCAGAGAUGUCGGACCGACCAAUCCAACCCAAGUUACAACCUAUUGCUGGUCCAUAAAACUCAAAUGACGAUAUUUUAGUGAACGAUACCAGAGAUGACACAGAUGUGUCAAUAGAUAUAGGAAUAUGUGGUAUGAGUGCGUUUGAGACAACUCUCCAUCCAAGUAACAAUUUAUAAAAGUAAACCUUUAUUGGCCAAGGUACGGUGUCCAACACGGAGCUUGGGCUCACACCGAACAGCAAGCUAUAAAGGGCCCCAAAAAUUACUAGUAUAAAACCAACGGUCUAAUCUAAAUAGAAACGAGAAGCAUGGUUGAGCCGUUAGAGAAAAUGGACAAGAAGUCCUAAUCACAUACAGACAAACAAAAUCUGGAGAGAUUUAAUAUAUUUUAUGUGAAAAUGACAACGAG